AUCGAACGCUGGCGGCAGGCCUAACACAUGCAAGUCGAACGAGUGGCGGACGGGUGAGUAAUGUCUGGGAAACUGCCUGAUGGAGGGGGAUAACUAUUGGAAACGGUAGCAAAUCCCGCAUACCAUCAGAUGUGCCCAGGUGGGAUUAGCAAGUUGGUGGGGUGACGGCUCACCAAGGCGACGAUGCCUAGCUGGUCUGAGGGGAUGAUCCGCCAAACUGGAACUGAGGAACUGUGCAGACUCCUACGGGAGGCCGCAGGGGGGAAGUUUGGACUAUGGGCGCAAGGCUGAUGGAGCCAUGCCGCGUGGAUGAAGGAGGCCUUCGGGUUUUAAAGUUCUUUCCGCGGGGAGGCGUUACCCGCAGAAGAAGCACCGGCUAACUCCGUGCCAGCAGCCGCGGUAAUAC
rnacentral:rRNA from 1 species